UCGACUCGAGUUAAAGACGGAAUCACUUUCGGACACAAAAUAGAAAUCUUUAAUUUUCAAUUAUAAUUAAAACAUAAAUUGUUUAUAAAUUUUAUUUAGUGUAAAAAAAAUAUUGGAGAUUGGUGAUUAAUUAAUUGUGAUUAGAUUUUUAAGUGGGAAUUAGUUAUUAAUUAAAAGUAAUUAAGUUAAUUAAUUAUAUCAUCUAGUGGGCCCCACCUGACUUUUAAAUUAAAAAAAAUAAUUAAAAAAAAAACAAAAAACAAAACAGAAAAUGGUGAGUCACAAGGAGAUGGCAACGUGUCAACUUAAAGGGAACCAUAUAAAUGGUUGAUUAUUGAAUCAACAAAACAUUUCAUUCUAAGAAUAGAAAGUUUAAAAAAAGAAAGAAAGAAUAAAACACCCAUGGCUGCUCAGCCAGCCAUGGUGAUUGAAAAAAAAAUGUGUGUUUUGUUGCUAUUUUGAUCAUGAUUCAAGUAAAUUGCAAGUUCAAGGGGGUGAUAGCAACGUUGGAUAUUGAAUCGGGGAAGAAGAAAUUGCGAAAUUGGAGCAAUUAAGGGCAGAAAUUCGUCCGAGAAAAUUAAGGCUAAAAGAGCGUCGAGACGAACGGGUUACGAAUAGCCGCUAACAGGUACAGAUAGUCGAUUUGGUGACCCUUCAGCAUAGGACUUCUACUCAGCUGUUUUGGAGAGCUCCGUUGUUCCGGAGUCUAGACUUUUGGUUCAGAUCUUAUAAUGUAUAUGUAUAUGUUUAUCCAGGGGUACGGCGGGGCCCUGUCCCGUCAUAUUUUGUUGUCGCUACUCUUAAAGGUCUGUAGACAUAUGUGUGGGUUGUGUAUGGGUUCUGUUCAGCUGUGUCUAUACGAUGUGCUGUGGUAUGAUGUUCGUCUCUAGUAGCAGCCUUGUCGGCUUGCAUACGGUAUUGAUAUGUGAUGGCAGCCUUGUCGGCUUGCGUAUUAUUUCAUGAUAUGA